rnacentral:lncRNA from 1 species
UGAACAUAAAGUGAUUAAUGGAAAGUAGUGAUGAGAAAAAUGAUGUCUGGAUUUUCCCCAGUCUGCUUCCAUUACUAUUACCACUGGCUCUGAACCAUUAUUGAAUAUAUUAGACUCUGGCUAAGGCAAUUGUCACCCAUACAGUAGGCUAAAGAUUGUCCUCUAAUUCAUCUUUUGUUGUUUUUUGAGACAGAGUUUUUGAGACAGGCCAUUCUUGCCCAGGCUGGAGUGCAAUGGCUUGGUCUCAGCUCACUGCAACCUCUGCCUCCUGGGCCCAAGCUCCUGUCUUAGCCUCCUAAGUAGCUGGGAUUACAAGAGCCCGCCACCAUGCCCAGCUAUUUUUUGUAUUUUUCUUUUUCUUGUAGUAGAGAUGGAGUUAUAAUUCAUCUUUAAGUUAUGUAUGUUAUCCAUGACUCUCUAGAACAAUCCCAAUGAUAAAACCAUUAAUUUAGCCAGCACAUUGAAUAAUUAUGGAUAACACUUGUAGUAGCCUUUUGUCCUUCACAGAGCUUGUGUGACUUGGACUUCUCACAGAUCUUCCUUUACCUGUGCUGCUGCACUGCCAUCCUGCUCUGUAAUGCUCUAAAUCCCUUUUGAAGAUGCUGAGCCAUCUGCUCGAGAUGGAGCCUGAAUAAUAAGAUGCAAACAUUCCUAAUAUAAUUUUAGUGCCCCUUUGUGCCACUGUCCAUCCAUUGGUUGGGGUUCUACUUCUGUCAGAGGCUAUAAAAAGAAAAGAGGAGACAGUUAAAUUUUCCUCUCCUUGCUCAUCCACUAAUGCUUAAAGAGCUAAUAAAACAGACAUUUAUUCUCAACUGCAGCUCAAUUGAAAUGUUAUGAUGUUUUUGGUGACUUCUGAAGGGUAAUGGAAAAUGAGUGCCACCUGUUUAUGAUGUGCCAUUGGGGAAAUGACACUUCUUAGAUGAAUUCCACUUAAAAUGUAGCAUUUUUUAAAUUUGAGAUGGGUUGUUCUCUGGAAGAGCAGCUGAUUCCUAAGCAUAUGAAACAAACAGACCGUGAGGCACACAAUUCAUUUGUUUCAUCUGUUUUUACAGUUAAUACAUGGCAGCCCAGUCAGUCUGGCCCAGUGCAGAUUAUGAAGAAGAUCCAAGUUAUAAGCUCCAACAGGUAAAGAGCUUUGAAGUCAUCUCUUUCAUCCUUUAAGGGAGGAAAAAAAGUGGACAAACUGAAAAUAAACAACUUUAUUGGAAUUUAUCAGAGAAUAGACAUAGCUGCCCCAAAGAUGGAGAGACAAGCAAUUUGAAGAAACACAGCUAAUGAAAAUUGCUUAGUUGGAGAAAAAGCUGCUGAAAUCCUUAAGACGAUAGAAACACUUAAAAAAUUAUUUUGAUGAAUGACUGGAAGCCAAGUGCAGACUAUCUUAAGAUUGAGAAAUGGCUGUGUGCUAAAGUCAUAAGGGACUUCCCCCUACACAUGCAUAUAAGCUUUCAUUCCAGGAAUCCUCCAUGUUCUCA